UGAAGACAUCUGGAACCAAACACUUAAGAGGUCUCUUGUGGCAGGCUCUGAUGUCAAAGUCCCUAAACGAAAGCUUUACUGUCUGCAAACUGCAAAUCCUACAUCAGGGACCUUCCUGUCCUUGUCUACUGCAGAGAAACACUGUCCCAUUCAAGUUUGACGGGGAGGCCAUCAGAGGCACACAAAGACGUGGAAUCCAAGCCACAACUCGAUAACAUACACCUUUAAGCUAUCAUUGGCCAUGCUCUGUCAAAGUUUCCUAACAUCAGCAUGCCCGAUGUGAGACGAAGCAUAAGAAAAAAAAAAAAACAAAGCUACUCCAAGCAAGCAACUGCAAGAAGACCAUAUGAACAUGAACAUUUGUUUUUGUGGUUCCUUUUAACAUUUAACAGGGCAGAAACGAGGGAAGCACAACCUGUAUGUGGGUAGCCAGUGACCUUAAAUAUUAUGUUCAAACUGUGUGUUGUGCUUUGUUUGGACUGGAAGUGACAUCCAACACAAUAUUUGUUUGAAAAUUUUGAUUUAUAAAGAAAACAACUAUUUUCA